GAGUUUGAUCGUGGCUCAGGAUGAACGCUAGCGACAGGCUUAACACAUGCAAGUCGAGGGGCAGCGGGGGCGAAAGCUUGCUUUCGCCUGCCGGCGACCGGCGCACGGGUGAGUAACACGUAUGCAACCUGCCCGCAGCAGGGGGAUAAGCCGGAGAAAUCCGGUCUAAUACCGCGUAAAACCCUGAGGGGACAUCCUCUUGGGGUCAAAGGAGCAAUCCGGCUGCGGAUGGGCAUGCGUCGCAUUAGGCAGUUGGCGGGUAACGCCCA
rnacentral:rRNA from 1 species